GACGAACGCUGGCGGCGUGCUUAACACAUGCAAGUCGAGCGAGGAAAUUGCUUCGGGAAUUUCCUAGCGGCGGACGGGUGAGUAACACGUGGGCAACCUGCCUGAUAGAGGGGGAUAGCCUCCCGAAAGGGAGAUUAAUACCGCAUAAAGUCAAAUGAAGGCAUCUUCAAAUGACCAAAGGAGUAAUCCGCUAUCAGAUGGGCCCGCGGCGCAUUAGCUAGUUGGUGAGGUAACGGCUCACCAAGGCGACGAUGCGUAGCCGACCUGAGAGGGUGAUCGGCCACAUUGGGACUGAGACACGGCCCAGACUCCUACGGGAGGCAGCAGUGGGGAAUAUUGCACAAUGGGGGAAACCCUGAUGCAGCAACGCCGCGUGAGUGAUGAAGGCCUUCGGGUUGUAAAGCUCUGUCUUCAGGGACGAUAAUGACGGUACCUGAGGAGGAAGCCACGGCUAACUACGUGCCAGCAGCCGCGGUAACAC
rnacentral:rRNA from 1 species